rnacentral:lncRNA from 1 species
GUAAAUACAAGCUCCCGUUUCACUAUUUUUGAAGCAGCAAGUCCUGAGCAUCAACACUUUUGAAAAAAGGAGAUAAGAGACUUUACCUCCUGGCUCCGUGGGAUGGAGGAUAUUGGAGAUCUACCCUCCAAAGGGGAAGUGACAGGAGGAAGAAUAUGGAGCAUUUGAGUACGCUAUUCACUCUGAAGAAAGAAAGAGAAUGUGGAAAUUGGAAAAGAUGGAAGAAAUUGUUUAUGGUUGUUUUCUGAAACAGAAAGUGGAAGGAAAGAAUGAAAUAGAAAGACAGAAGACACUGGAUUCAAAGUUUUAUGGAAUAACGUCUCCUAAGGAGGGAAGAAACCGUUAAAGAUGGAAGCUUAGACUGAGUUAACAUUCAACGAAGCCCUGUGACACUGGCCAAGAAAGGCGGG